GGGCCUGUAGAUCAGUGGAAGAUCAUUAAUUUAUAAUCAAGAGGCCACGGGUUCAAUCCCCGUCAGGUCCA
rnacentral:tRNA from 1 species